rnacentral:misc_RNA from 1 species
GAUGAAGAACGUAGCGAAAUGCGAUAAGUAAUGUGAAUUGCAGAAUUCAGUGAAUCAUCGAAUCUUUGAACGCACAUUGCGCCCGCCAGUAUUCUGGCGGGCAUGCCUGUUCGAGCGUCAUUUCAACCAUCAAGCCCCAGGCUUGUGUUGGGGACCUGCGGCUGCCGCAGGCCCUGAAAACCAGUGGCGGGCUCGCUAGUCACACCGAGCGUAGUAGCAUACACAUCGCUCAGGGCGUGCUGCGGGUUCCGGCCGUUAAACCCCUUUUUUACCCAAGGUUGACCUCGGAUCAGGUAGGAAUACCCGCUGAACUUAAGCAUAUCAAUAAGCGGAGGA